GUAGGGAAUAUUGGGCAAUGGAUGCAAGUCUGACCCAGCCAUCCCGCGUGCCGGAAGAAGGCCCUCAGGGUUGUAAACGGCUUUUGACGGUGAAGAAUCGACAGGAUGCGUCCUGUUUUGACGGUAGCCGUUGAAUAAGCACCGGCUAACUCCGUGCCAGCAGCCGCGGUAAUACGGAGGGUGCGAGCGUUGUCCGGAUUUAUUGGGUUUAAAGGGUGCGUAGGCUGGAAGGUCAGUCAGCGGUGAAAAGCUGUCGCUUAACGAUAGUCUUGCCGCAGAUACUUCCUUUCUUGGAUGAGGAGGAGGCCACUGGAACGGAUGGUGUAGCGGUGAAAUGCAUAGAUAUCAUCCAGAACACCGAUUGCGAAGGCAGGUGGCUGUACCUUAAUCGACGCUGAUGCACGAAAGCAUGGGGAGCAAACAGGAUUAGAAACCCUUGUCC
rnacentral:rRNA from 1 species